rfam:Brachypodium distachyon strain Bd21 chromosome 1, whole genome shotgun sequence.
GAUCUACUCCUUCUGUCCAACAAAAGAUGUCUCAGAUUUGUUAAAAUUUGAAUGUGUCUAGACAUGACUUUAGUGUAUAGAUGCAUUCAAAUUUAGUCAAAGUUGAGACAUCCUUUGUUGGACGGAGUGAGUAUUAA